GGUGAAAUUCUCAGAUUAACUAAAGACUAACUUAUGCGAAAGCAUUUGCCAAGGAUGUUUUCAUUGAUCAAGAACGAAAGU
rnacentral:rRNA from 1 species